rfam:Daucus carota subsp. sativus cultivar DH1 chromosome 3, whole genome shotgun sequence.
CUGAAGAUGAGUUACUCAAAUUCCUCCCCAGGGCAUCAUCAAUGAUGCAAAAUAGAGUUUCCGAUGCA